rnacentral:rRNA from 1 species
GACGAACGCUGGCGGCGUGCUUAACACAUGCAAGUCGAACGGUAAGGCUCCAGCUUGCUGGGGUACACGAGUGGCGAACGGGUGAGUAACACGUGGGUGACCUGCCCUGCACUUCGGGAUAAGCCUGGGAAACUGGGUCUAAUACCGGAUAGGACCGCACCGUGAGGGUGUGGUGGAAAGUUUUUUCGGUGUGGGAUGGGCCCGCGGCCUAUCAGCUUGUUGGUGGGGUAAUGGCCUACCAAGGCGGCGACGGGUAGCCGGCCUGAGAGGGUGGACGGCCACAUUGGGACUGAGACACGGCCCAGACUCCUACGGGAGGCAGCAGUGGGGAAUAUUGCACAAUGGGCGGAAGCCUGAUGCAGCGACGCCGCGUGGGGGAUGACGGCCUUCGGGUUGUAAACUCCUUUCACCAUCGGCGAAGGGUUUCUGACGGUAGAUGGAGAAGAAGCACCGGCUAACUACGUGCCAGCAGCCGCGGUAAUACGUAGGGUGCGAGCGUUGUCCGGAAUUACUGGGCGUAAAGAGCUCGUAGGUGGUUUGUCGCGUCGUCUGUGAAAUUCCGGGGCUUAACUCCGGGCGUGCAGGCGAUACGGGCAUAACUUGAGUACUGUAGGGGAGACUGGAAUUCCUGGUGUAGCGGUGAAAUGCGCAGAUAUCAGGAGGAACACCGGUGGCGAAGGCGGGUCUCUGGGCAGUAACUGACGCUGAGGAGCGAAAGCAUGGGGAGCGAACAGGAUUAGGUACCCUGGUAGUCCAUGCCGUAAACGGUGGGCGCUAGGUGUGGGUUUCCUUCCACGGGAUCCGUGCCGUAGCUAACGCAUUAAGCGCCCCGCCUGGGGAGUACGGCCGCAAGGCUAAAACUCAAAGGAAUUGACGGGGGCCCGCACAAGCGGCGGAGCAUGUGGAUUAAUUCGAUGCAACGCGAAGAACCUUACCUGGGCUUGACAUAUACAGGAUCGCGCCAGAGAUGGUGUUUCCCUUGUGGCUUGUAUACAGGUGGUGCAUGGUUGUCGUCAGCUCGUGUCGUGAGAUGUUGGGUUAAGUCCCGCAACGAGCGCAACCCUUGUCUUAUGUUGCCAGCACGUUGUGGUGGGGACUCGUAAGAAACUGCCGGGGUUAACUCGGAGGAAGGUGGGGAUGACGUCAAAUCAUCAUGCCCCUUAUGCCCAGGGCUUCACACAUGCUACAAUGGUCGGUACAGUGGGUUGCCAGUCCGUGAGGGCGAGCUAAUCCCGCAAAGCCGGUCUCAGUUCGGAUCGGGGUCUGCAACUCGACCCCGUGAAGUCGGAGUCGCUAGUAAUCGCAGAUCAGCAACGCUGCGGUGAAUACGUUCCCGGGCCU